CCUUGCCAGCCCGCUCAGAAACUUAAAGGAAUUGACGGGGCCCGCACAAGCGGUGGAGCAUGUGGUUUAAUUCGACGCAACGCGAAGAACCUUACCAGCCCUUGACAUGGGAAGUAUGGGCCGCAGAGACGCGGUCCUUCAGUUCGGCUGGCUUCCACACAGGUGCUGCAUGGCUGUCGUCAGCUCGUGUCGUGAGAUGUUGGGUUAAGUCCCGCAACGAGCGCAACCCUCGUCUCCAGUUGCCAUCGGGUAAAGCCGGGCACUUUGGAGAAACUGCCGGUGACAAGCCGGAGGAAGGUGGGGAUGACGUCAAGUCCUCAUGGCCCUUACGGGCUGGGCUACACACGUGCUACAAUGGCGGUGACAGAGGGCAGCGAAGGGGCGACCUGGAGCUAAUCCCCAAAAACCGUCUCAGUUCGGAUUGUACUCUGCAACUCGAGUGCAUGAAGUUGGAAUCGCUAGUAAUCGCGGAUCCAGCACGACCGACGGUAGUAAUACGUUCCCGGCCUU
rnacentral:rRNA from 1 species